rnacentral:rRNA from 1 species
UACGGGGGGGGCAAGCGUUGUUCGGAAUUACUGGGCGUAAAGCGUGCGCAGGCGGUUCGCCAAGUCAGGUGUGAAAUCCCCGGGCUUAACCUGGGAAUUGCGCUUGAAACUAGCGGGCUUGAGUGUGGCAGAGGGGGGUGGAAUUCCACGUGUAGCAGUGAAAUGCGUAGAGAUGUGGAGGAACACCGAUGGCGAAGGCAGCCCCCUGGGUCAGCACUGACGCUCAUGCACGAAAGCGUGGGGAGCAAACAGG